ensembl:snRNA U6 U6 spliceosomal RNA
AUGCUCACUUUGGCAGCACAUACACUAAAACUGGAAUGAUGUAGAGAAGAUGAGCAUGGUACCUCUGCAAGGAUGACACACAUUUGUGAAAUGUUACAUAUUUAA